rnacentral:lncRNA from 1 species
GGAAGGGUUUGGAAGAACUAUCCUUUCAUUCCGGAGAGGAGCUCGAAUAAGGUAAAGUGGAGUGUCUAAAUAACUCCGAGAAAUAUACUUGGUUAUGGAAGAAGGAGUAAUGUGCGACUCGAGAUUAGCAACAUCGGGAAGCCUAGAACCCUCCAUGGAAGAGUAAGAGAGCGUACCUGAAAUGCAAUAAGGUUGAGAAAGUAGAAGAAGUCGAAGGAAAACAGAGAGCAGA